GUUCGUGAAAUCUCACGGCUUAACUGUGAGCGUGCGGGCGAUACGGGCAGACUUGAGUACUGCAGGGGAGACUGGAAUUCCUGGUGUAGCGGUGGAAUGCGCAGAUAUCAGGAGGAACACCGGUGGCGAAGGCGGGUCUCUGGGCAGUAACUGACGCUGAGGAGCGAAAGCGUGGGGAGCGAACAGGAUUAGAUACCCUGGUAGUCCACGCCGUAAACGGUGGGUACUAGGUGUGGGUUUCCUUCCUUGGGAUCCGUGCCGUAGCUAACGCAUUAAGUACCCCGCCUGGGGAGUACGGCCGCAAGGCUAAAACUCAAAGAAAUUGACGGGGGCCCGCACAAGCGGCGGAGCAUGUGGAUUAAUUCGAUGCAACGCGAAGAACCUUACCUGGGUUUGACAUGCACAGGACGCCGGCAGAGAUGUCGGUUCCCUUGUGGCCUGUGUGCAGGUGGUGCAUGGCUGUCGUCAGCUCGUGUCGUGAGAUGUUGGGUUAAGUCCCGCAACGAGCGCAACCCUUGUCUCAUGUUGCCAGCGGGUAAUGCCGGGGACUCGUGAGAGACUGCCGGGGUCAACUCGGAGGAAGGUGGGGAUGACGUCAAGUCAUCAUGCCCCUUAUGUCCAGGGCUUCACACAUGCUACAAUGGCCGGUACAAAGGGCUGCGAUGCCGCGAGGUUAAGCGAAUCCUUUUAAAGCCGGUCUCAGUUCGGAUCGGGGUCUGCAACUCGACCCCGUGAAGUCGGAGUCGCUAGUA
rnacentral:rRNA from 1 species